rnacentral:rRNA from 1 species
UACGUAUGGUGCAAGCGUUAUCCGGAUUUACUGGGCGUAAAGGGAGCGCAGGCGGCGCGCCAAGUCUGAUGUGAAACCCCGGGGCUCAACCCCGGGCAUGCAUUGGAAACUGGCGGGCUGGAGUGCCGGAGAGGUAAGCGGAAUUCCUAGUGUAGCGGUGAAAUGCGUAGAUAUUAGGAGGAACACCAGUGGCUAAGGCGGCUUACUGGACGGCAACUGACGCUGAGGCUCGAAAGCGUGGGGAGCAAACAGG